rnacentral:rRNA from 1 species
GCAACAGCCUAAAACUCAAAGGACUUGGCGGUGCUUUAUAUCCCUCUAGAGGAGCCUGUUCUGUAAUCGAUAAACCCCGAUAAACCUCACCAGUCCUUGCUAAUACAGCCUAUAUACCGCCAUCUUCAGCAAACCCUAAAAAGGAGCCACAGUAAGCCAAAUCAUACAACAUAAAAACGUUAGGUCAAGGUGUAGCCCAUGGACCGGGAAGAAAUGGGCUACAUUUUCUAACAUAGA